GCUUUCCGUGGCAUAUUAUUGCAGUAUACCUGGGAACCACAUGUUUUCUUCUCCUGCUGGCAAUCGCAGGUUUAGGAUAUAUGUAUUUUCAGAGCACUUCUGAAUGCAAAAUACAGGAUAUGGAAGACACAAAGGAACAAAAUACCUCCUGCGCACAAGAAGUUGGCGAUCACUCAAUUCUACCACCUAGCACAGCCUGUGCCACAUAUCAAGGAAAAUGGAUCUGUGAUGGAGAAAACUGUUACUAUUUUUCAAAAGAAGAGAAAACUUGGAACAACAGUGAGGAGUCAUGCGAAGACCUGAAUUCGAGUCUUGUUAAGAUUGAUGACAAAGAUGAGCAGGUAUGUUGACUUUAUUUAACCUCGAGUGAGUGCUUUAUGGCCUGACUUAGGCUAAUUGGUUAGCUUAGGCUUUCCUUCAAUCUUAGUUGACCCAUUUGUUGGAAGCACUUCUACAUAAGGAUACAGAUUUAUCUUGAGAGAAGGGAACAUAGGCAUUAAAGAGGGCUGGGAGGACAAUUUUAUUUUUUUAAACCAAGAAAAACCACUUUGUGGUGGGUGUCAGGAAAUGAUUUUUUAAAUCUUUUUAUUAUAUCUUCAGAUUUUAGGAUACAUGAGACUGUUCAGUGUUUAUUCUGUCAUUUGGAAGAAAUGAAAAACCACCUGUGAUGAUAUGAGCAAUCUAUAAGAAAUGACUUUUCAGUGUACUGGGUCCUAUUUUUUCCACCAGAAAUAUUUGGAAGAGACCACAUUGUAGGGGAAAACAAAACUUCACUGUCACGGCUAUGGAAAACUAGGAUGAAAAAUAAAGAGAAUGAAUAUGGCUGGAAUGAUUAUUCACAAAUGAAAUUUUAUUUUACUCAUAACCCAUAAUGAGAGAGGAAGAUUCACUUUUCCUGAUCUGUCCCAUUUGCCAUAAGUUUUAAGUAUAUGAAAUUAA